CUUGCUCCUUUGACGUUAGCGGCGGACGGGUGAGUAACACGUGGGUAACCUACCUAUAAGACUGGGAUAACUUCGGGAAACCGGAGCUAAUACCGGAUAAUAUUUCGAACCGCAUGGUUCGAUAGUGAAAGAUGGCUCUGCUAUCACUUAUAGAUGGACCUGCGCCGUAUUAGCUAGUUGGUAAGGUAACGGCUUACCAAGGCAACGAUACGUAGCCGACCUGAGAGGGUGAUCGGCCACACUGGAACUGAGACACGGUCCAGACUCCUACGGGAGGCAGCAGUAGGGAAUCUUCCGCAAUGGGCGAAAGCCUGACGGAGCAACGCCGCGUGAGUGAUGAAGGUCUUCGGAUCGUAAAACUCUGUUAUUAGGGAAGAACAAACGUGUAAGUAACUGUGCACGUCUUGACGGUACCUAAUCAGAAAGCCACGGCUAACUACGUGCCAGCAGCCGCGGUAAUACGUAGGUGGCAAGCGUUAUCCGGAAUUAUUGGGCGUAAAGCGCGCGUAGGCGGUUUUUUAAGUCUGAUGUGAAAGCCCACGGCUCAACCGUGGAGGGUCAUUGGAAACUGGAAAACUUGAGUGCAGAAGAGGAAAGUGGAAUUCCAUGUGUAGCGGUGAAAUGCGCAGAGAUAUGGAG
rnacentral:rRNA from 1 species